rnacentral:rRNA from 1 species
UACGUAGGGAGCAAGCGUUGUCCGGAAUCAUUGGGCGUAAAGCGCGCGUAGGCGGCCCUGUAAGUCCGCUGUGAAAGUCAAAGGCUCAACCUUUGAAAGCCGGUGGAUACUGCAGGGCUAGAGUCCGGAAGAGGCGAGUGGAACUCCUGGUGUAGCGGUGGAAUGCGCAGAUAUCAGGAGGAACACCAAUGGCGAAGGCAGAUCUCUGGGCCGUAACUGACGCUGAGGAGCGAAAGCAUGGGGAGCGAACAGG